GAUGAACGCUGACAGAAUGCUUAACACAUGCAAGUCGACUGUGGCGGACGGGCGAGUAACGCGUAAAGAACUUGCCUCACGGAUAGGGACAACAUUUGGAAACGAAUGCUAAUACCUGAUACUGUGAGAGAGCUUUGCGUCCCAUUAGCUAUUUGGAGAGGUAACGGCUCACCAAGGCGAGGAUGGGUAGCCGGCCUGAGAGGGUGAUCGGCCACAAGGGGACUGAGACGCGGCCCUUACUCUUCCGUGCGGCAGCAGUGGGGAUUAUUGGGCGCUGGACCAAUGUCUGAUCCAGCAAUUCUGUGUGCAAGAUGAAGUUUUCGGAAUGUAAAGUGCUUUCAGUUGGGAAGCGGUACCAACAGAAGAAGUGACGGCUAACUCCGUGCCAGCAGCCGCGGUAAUAC
rnacentral:rRNA from 1 species